UUAAUAUUUACAAAAUAAAUACUAGUAACCGUUACAUAAAAAAAUUGUCUGUCUGCAGUUUGGUAUAUUGUUAUGAUGUUUGAAUUAAAUUUGAAGUAUUAAUCAAUUGCAUUUUACUAAUUUUUGUUUGAAUAAUAUCAGCUGAAAUCACUGAGUAGAAUUUGAUACUAUUUUGUCAGUAAAGUCAACAAUGUCGAAAAAUUAAUAAAUUCUAAUAAUGGGAAUUCUGUAGUUUUAAACACUGUACACUUCCGCCGAAGGCAUUUGCGCCAUACGCAAGUUGAUGUCUGCCACACCCGCCAUCAACUGAUAUCUGCUCAAGGUGUAUAAAGAAUCUACCAACACUUAUCUGUCAACACUUAAAGACCGCAGGUUUUUGCUGAUGGGAUGGCAGUGUAAGAUCUGCAAGUCUUUGUCUGCUACAAAAGGGAACCUACUAAAGCAUUACAGACUAGAGCACACAACAUUUGGUCACGGGCAAUCUCAGCCAUGUCCCUAUAGUGGUUGCCCUUGCACAUUCAAAACGCAGAGUGCUCUUCGCACACAUUUGUCCAGGUGGACUUCCUGAUUUUGCUGAGAUUAUUCAGAUUGCUAUUUUGGACAACUGUGUACACUUCAUUGUAAAGUUACUGGCUGCCUGGUAUGAAGAGCAUCUAAGGUCUUUUCAGUUGGAGGACACUGGGAAAAUGGCACUUUGGGAGCAGCAGAAACUUGGUGAUGUCUACCCCUUGGCUGCGUACAGUGUGGGAGGAAAAUGCUUGGUUACACUCAAACGUCACAUCUGUUGUCCGUUUUAGGCCGGAGAGAUGGAGGAAAAAUUGCGAGUAAUCAUUGGCGACCGAAUUGAGAAGUUGGUCCUUCAAUCAGGAAUCCCACCGACUGUGGAGGAGCUGCAAACUAUUGUGAAAGAGAAAUUUGGAAUUUCUGAGGAGUUCAGUCUUCAGUAUUUGGACUCAGAAUUUGAAGAUUACUUUACACUGCAUAAAACUGACCAAAUUAAACACAAAGACACGGUAAAGGUUAUCUAUGCUGCCCCGAUUAUUCUUAACUUGCAGCAAGUUGAAGGAAGUUUGGACAUUUCUUUUGGUCAACAGUCAACAGAC